ACCAGCACGUUAUGGUGGGCGACUCUAAGGAGACUGCCGGUGACAAACCGGAGGAAGGUGGGGAGUGACGUCAAGUCAUCAUGGCCCUUACGGCCUGGGCUACACACGUGCUACAAUGGUCGGUACAAAGGGUUGCCAAGCCGCGAGGUGGAGCUAAUCCCAUAAAACCGAUCGUAGUCCGGAUCGCAGUCUGCAACUCGACUGCGUGAAGUCGGAAUCGCUAGUAAUCGUGAAUCAGAAUGUCACGGUGAAUACGUUCCCGGGCCUU
rnacentral:rRNA from 1 species